ACAGGGUUUUGUCGGUGUGCAGGGGGGCAGAGGGCACACAGGACCUCCUGGACCCACAGGGCCCCAAGGAAAACCUGGAGCUGAUGGAGACCUGGGUUGCAUGGGUCCAAAGGGUCUGCCUGGGAAACCUGGCUUGGAGGGACCGCAGGGGCCGGUCGGCAUGUAUGGCUACCCAGGACUGGCUGGCGACCGUGGGAAGCCAGGACACAGGGGAGAAAAGGGAGAAGCUGGAGCCCGAGGCCCACCAGGAUUCCCUGGAAAAGCUGGUCCCAAGGCCCCACCAGGCCGCCCUGGUCCACGAGGUGCUCCUGGCUCCCAGGGGAGAGCAGGAGAGCCGGGUCCUCGGGGGCUCCCAGGGCUGCCGGGAGCUCCUGGUGUGCGGGGGCUGCAUGGUAUGCCUGGGAAGCCUGGCUUAGCGGGGGAAAUAGGAGCACCUGGAGCAGCAGGGGCUGCUGGCCCUCCUGGGUACCCG
rnacentral:lncRNA from 1 species